rnacentral:rRNA from 1 species
GUCGGUAAAACUCGUGCCAGCCACCGCGGUUAUACGAGAGACCCAAGCUGAUAGAUGCCGGCGUAAAGAGUGGUUAAGUAUCUUGAUAGAACUAAAGCCGAACGCCCUCAAGACCGUUAUACGUUUCCGAAGGUAUGAAGCCCAACUACGAAAGUAACUUUAACUAUAUCUGACUCCACGAAAGCUGUGAAACAAACUGGGAUUAGAUACCCCACUAUG